rnacentral:rRNA from 1 species
UGAAUACGAGAUGCUACGGCGUCGAAGCAGUCUAUGUCAUACUUCCAAGAAAAGCUUGCACUGUCAUAAACAAAUAAUGCCUGUACCAUAACCGACACAGGUGGGUAGGUAGAGUAUACUAAGGGGCGCGAGAUAACUCUCUCUAAGGAACUCGGCAAAAUGACUCCGUAACUUCGGGAGAAGGAGUGCCUUAUUUAUAAGGUUGCAAUAACAAGAUCCAAGCAACUGUUUACCAAAAACACAGGUCUCCGCUAAGUCGUAAGACGAUGUAUGGGGGCUGACGCCUGCCCAGUGCCAGAAGGUUAAAGAAGUUGGUUAGCAUCCGCGAAGCUGAUAACUGAAGCCCUGGUGAACGGCGGCCGUAACGAUAACGGUCCUAAGGUAGCGAAAUUCCUUGUCGGGUAAGUUCCGACCCGCACGAAAGGCGUAAUGAUUUGGAUACUGUCUCGGAGAGGGGCUCGGUGAAAUAGACUUGUCUGUGAAGAUGCGGACUACCUGCACCAGGACAGAAAGACCCUAUGAAGCUUUACUGUAACCUGAAAUUGAAAUUGGACUUUACUUGCGCAGUAUAGGUGGGAGGCGUUGAGAAUAUUCUUGCGGGAUUAUUGGAGCCAUCAGUGAGAUACCACUCUUGUAAUGUUAGAUUUCUAACUUUGUAUCAUUAUCUGGUCAAAGAACAGUUUCAGGCGGGCAGUUUGACUGGGGCGGUCGCCUCCUAAACGGUAACGGAGGCGCACAAAGGUUUCCUCUGAACGGGUAGAAAUCGUAUCUAGAGUGUAAAGGCAUAAGGAAGCUUGACUGUGAGACCUACAAGUCGAGCAGGGACGAAAGUCGGUCUUAGUGAUCUGACGGUGCUGAGUGGAAAGGCCGUCACUCAACGGAUAAAAGUUACUCUAGGAUAACAGGCUGAUCUCCCCCAAGAGUUCACAUCGACGGGGAGGUUUGGCACCUCGAUGUCGGCUCAUCGCAUCCUGGGGCGGUAGUACGUCCCAAGGGUUGGGCUGUUCGCCCAUGAAAGCGGUACGCGAGCUGGGUUCAGAACGUCGUGAGACAGUUCGGUCCAUAUCCGGUGUAGGCGUUAGAAUAUUGAGAGGAGCCUUCUUUAGUACGAGAGGACCGAGAAGGACAUACCUCUGGUGUACCAGUUAUCGUGCCAACGGUAAACGCUGGGUAGCUAUGUGUGGAGUGGAUAACCGCUGAAAGCAUCUAAGUGGGAAGCCCACCUCAAGAUAAGUAUUCUCGU